GACGAACGCUGGCGGCGUGCCUAAUACAUGCAAGUCGAACGAAGCUGUUUUAACUGGUGCUUGCACCGACUUAAACAACUGAGUGGCGAACGGGUGAGUAACACGUGGGUAACCUGCCCCAAAGCGGGGGAUAACAUUUGGAAACAGAUGCUAAUACCGCAUAACCACAGAAACCACAUGGUUUCUGUGUCAAAGAUGGUUUCGGCUAUCACUUUGGGAUGGACCCGCGGCGUAUUAGCUAGUUGGUAAGGUAAUGGCUUACCAAGGCAAUGAUACGUAGCCGAACUGAGAGGUUGAUCGGCCACAGUGGGACUGAGAAACGGCCCAAACUCCUACGGGAGGCAGCAGUAGGGAAUCUUCCACAAUGGACGAAAGUCUGAUGGAGCAACGCCGCGUGAGUGAAGAAGGUUUUCGGAUCGUAAAACUCUGUUGUCAGAGAAGAACGUGUGCGAGAGUAACUGUUCGUGCAGUGACGGUAUCUGGCCAGAAAGCCACGGCUAACUACGUGCCAGCCGCCGCCGUAA
rnacentral:rRNA from 1 species